rnacentral:sRNA from 1 species
UCAUUAUGGUCCGUUUUCCGCAGCUUAGA